rnacentral:lncRNA from 1 species
UUCUGGAGGCUGGGAAGUCCAAGAUCAAGGCAGAUCCAGUGACUGGUAGCAGCUUUAUUAGUCUGUACUGGGGCACCAUAAUGCAGACAAGAAACACUUUGAAAUCUUUAAUGCUCCUGGUGAGAUGAGGAACAGCUCUGUGGCAUUGCCAGCGGAGGAUAUCCAGAAGGAAGAAAAGCCAAAGCCUAGGCAAGCUCACUGACGCCGCUCUCUGGCUGCCUUCCGUGUCCUCCUCUCCGACGGGUGUUCCGGCCCUUUCUCGUCCUGGAGUGGCCAGAUCUACGACUUCAGUUUGAACUUGGGGAGAAGUAGGUGGGAUCUCUGGCUUGCUUUGGCAUGAGACCCAGUUAGUAACAGAGUCCUUCCAGCUUUAGGCUCAGCUCAGUAGACCUCUCUCUGUGUUUGGGGAGACUCUCCAGGUAAUAAUAAAGGAUUAUUUUACCAUG